UCCUGGCUCAGGACGAACGCUGGCGGCGUGCCUAAUACAUGCAAGUCGAGCGGACUUGAUGGAGUGCUUGCACUCCUGAGAGUUAGCGGCGGACGGGUGAGUAACACGUAGGUAACCUGCCCAUAAGACUGGGAUAACCCACGGAAACGUGAGCUAAUACCAGAUAGGCAUUUUCCUCGCAUGAGGGAGAUGAGAAAGGCGGAGCAAUCUGCCACUUAUGGAUGGACCUGCGGCGCAUUAGCUAGUUGGUAAGGUAACGGCUUACCAAGGCGACGAUGCGUAGCCGACCUGAGAGGGUGAUCGGCCACACUGGGACUGAGACACGGCCCAGACUCCUACGGGAGGCAGCAGUAGGGAAUCUUCCGCAAUGGACGAAAGUCUGACGGAGCAACGCCGCGUGAGUGAUGAAGGUUUUCGGAUCGUAAAGCUCUGUUGCCAGGGAAGAACGCCUAGGAGAGUAACU
rnacentral:rRNA from 1 species